UACGGGAGGCAGCAGUGGGGAAUAUUGCACAAUGGGCGCAAGCCUGAUGCAGCCAUGCCGCGUGUAUGAAGAAGGCCUUCGGGUUGUAAAGUACUUUCAGUCGUGAGGAAGGUGUUAAGGUUAAUAACCUUAGCAAUUGACGUUAGCGACAGAAGAAGCACCGGCUAACUCCGUGCCAGCAGCCGCGGUAAUACGGAGGGUGCGAGCGUUAAUCGGAAUUACUGGGCGUAAAAGGGCACGCAGGCGGUUAAUUAAGUUGGAUGUGAAAUCCCCGGGCUUAACCUGGGAAUGGCAUUCAAGACUGGUUAGCUAGAGUCUUGUAGAGGGGGUAGAAUUCCAUGUGUAGCGGUGAAAUGCGUAGAGAUGUGGAGGAAUACCGGGUGGCGAAGGCGGCCCCUGGGACAAAGACUGACGCUCAUGUGCGAAAAGCGUGGGGAGCAAAACAGGAUUAGAUACC
rnacentral:rRNA from 1 species